CCUACGGGUGGCAGCAGUGGGGAAUAUUGCGCAAUGGGCGAAAGCCUGACGCAGCGACGCCGCGUGAGGGAUGAAGGUCUUCGGAUCGUAAACCUCUGUCAGCAGGGAAGAACGGUCACUGUGCUAAUCAGCAGUGAAUUGACGGUACCUGCAAAGGAAGCACCGGCUAACUCCGUGCCAGCAGCCGCGGUAAUACGGGGGGUGGGAGCGUUAAUCGGAAUUACUGGGCGUAAAGCGCUUGUAGGCGGGAUGUUAAGUCAAGGGUGAAAGCCCCGAGCUCAACGUGGGAACUGCCUUUGAAACUGGCAAACUGGAGUGUGUGAGAGGAUAGUGGAAUUCCAGGUGUAGGAGUGAAAUCCGUAGAGAUCUGGAGGAACAUCAGUGGCGAAGGCGACUAUCUGGCACAUAACUGACGCUGAGGAGCGAAAGCGUGGGUAGCAAACAGGAUUAGAUACCCCGGUAGUC
rnacentral:rRNA from 1 species